CCAAUGGCUUUCUAAAUGGGGGUGCGUACCCACCGAGCAGCCACACUGAGAGGAGGAAGCCAAUUUGAGGACAUAUGAGGAAUGACACAGGAACUCAGCCAAGCCACCUGCAGCUCAAUGUUGUCACAGGAAAGGUGUCAGAGCAGAGCUGCAGAAGGCAAAGAGCUAUACUGUAAGACCAAAAUGCCACACUGGAAUGUUCCUACUGAGGAGACUUCUAGAAGCAGCAAGUCUGUGAUGCUCUGCAAUAUAUCAAGGAAGAGACUUCUCCACGUCAAUGAGGGAUCACGGGGCUGAUACACUAGCUAAGAUUGAGGGGGAGAGCGAUAGAGAGUGGGCAGAGAGGGAAGGAAGAUGGAUAAUAGAUGGAGUAACGGUACAGGAGCAGCCCAAACUGAGGAGAGAUACAGAGGUUCAUUCCAAUGGUGAGGGGAAGAGGUCUUCAUGGGUGGACGUGGGUAGAAAGUGUGUGAUAGGGAAAAAAAGUGGGGAUACCAAGGGAUUCAAAGUUUAAGUUGGGUUGGAGUUGGGAGUAGGGUUGGGGAAGGAAGAUAUGGGAAGUGGAUUAACCCAAAUGAUGGAUGUUGGAGAAAGCCAUUUGGAAACACAAUUUUGUUAGCUAAUUAAAAAAUACAAAUAAGACCUGAA
rnacentral:sRNA from 1 species